rnacentral:lncRNA from 1 species
GCUUAAUGUAAAUCCUUGUUAUCCUUCAUUUUAUGCUGCCACUGCCACUGCCACUGCCACUGCCACUGACUGCAUUUGUGCCCCAGCAUCUGGGGGCAGCCCCUGCAGCUUUUCAAGUUUAUGUCGCCGGAACAUCCAGCGCCUUUGGCCGGGCUCUUCCUUUCGGCUUUGCGGUUGUUUCCUGAUGUCCAUUUUGCCCCACACCGCCCUGCCCAUACUCCGCUCAACACUGUCUCCAUGUUCUUUACGACUUUGUGUCUCUGUUUUAUGACCAGUUUCAUCGCCAUUUCGUUUUUUCUCUUCUCUUUUUUCGUAAUUAUUGUCACGUAUGCGCUGCAAAAUUUUAU